GGGUUGUGAGGUUAAGCGACUAAGCGUACACGGUGGAUGCCCUGGCAGUCAGAGGCGAUGAAGGGCGUGCUAAUCUGCGAUAAGCGCCGGUAAGGUGAUAUGAACCGUUAUAACCGGCGAUACCCGAAUGGGGAAACCCAGUGUGAUUCGUCACACUAUCAUUAACUGAAUCCAUAGGUUAAUGAGGCGAACCGGGGGAACUGAAACAUCUAAGUACCCCGAGGAAAAGAAAUCAACCGAGAUUCCCCCAGUAGCGGCGAGCGAACGGGGAGGAGCCCAGAGCCUGAAUCAGCAUGUGUGUUAGUGGAAGCGUCUGGAAAGGUGCGCGAUACAGGGUGACAGCCCCGUACACAAAAGCGCAUGUGCUGUGAGCUCGAUGAGUAGGGCGGGACACGUGGUAUCCUGUCUGAAUAUGGGGGGACCAUCCUCCAAGGCUAAAUACUCCUGACUGACCGAUAGUGAACCAGUACCGUGAGGGAAAGGCGAAAAGAACCCCGGCGAGGGGAGUGAAAAAGAACCUGAAACCGUGUACGUACAAGCAGUGGGAGCACAGGUUUACCUGUGUGACUGCGUACCUUUUGUAUAAUGGGUCAGCGACUUAUAUUCUGUAGCAAGGUUAACCGUAUAGGGGAGCCGUAGGGAAACCGAGUCUUAACCGGGCGUUAAGUUGCAGGGUAUAGACCCGAAACCCGGUGAUCUAGCCAUGGGCAGGUUGAAGGUUGGGUAACACUAACUGGAGGACCGAACCGACUAAUGUUGAAAAAUUAGCGGAUGACCUGUGGCUGGGGGUGAAAGGCCAAUCAAACCGGGAGAUAGCUGGUUCUCCCCGAAAGCUAUUUAGGUAGCGCCUCGUGAAUUCAUCUCCGGGGGUAGAGCACUGUUUCGGCUAGGGGGCCAUCCCGGCUUACCAACCCGAUGCAAACUGCGAAUACCGGAGAAUGUUAUCACGGGAGACACACGGCGGGUGCUAACGUCCGUCGUGAAGAGGGAAACAACCCAGACCGCCAGCUAAGGUCCCAAAGUCAUGGUUAAGUGGGAAACGAUGUGGGAAGGCCCAGACAGCCAGGAUGUUGGCUUAGAAGCAGCCAUCAUUUAAAGAAAGCGUAAUAGCUCACUGGUCGAGUCGGCCUGCGCGGAAGAUGUAACGGGGCUAAACCAUGCACCGAAGCUGCGGCAGCGAACGUAUCACCCAAGACAACUUUACGGAGUUGACGAUUGACGGAGCGAAGCGACGUCAAAGCGUUCAUUAAAGUCGAGUUGGCUUAGGGAUACGUUCGUUGGGUAGGGGAGCGUUCUGUAAGCCUGUGAAGGUGUGUCGUGAGGCAUGCUGGAGGUAUCAGAAGUGCGAAUGCUGACAUAAGUAACGAUAAAGCGGGUGAAAAGCCCGCUCGCCGGAAGACCAAGGGUUCCUGUCCAACGUUAAUCGGGGCAGGGUGAGUCGACCCCUAAGGCGAGGCCGAAAGGCGUAGUCGAUGGGAAACGGGUUAAUAUUCCCGUACUUGGUGUUACUGCGAAGGGGGGACGGAGAAGGCUAUGUUGGCCGGGCGACGGUUGUCCCGGUUUAAGCGUGUAGGUGUGUGUUCCAGGUAAAUCCGGUUCACUUUAACACUGAGGCGUGACGACGAGGCACUACGGUGCUGAAGCAACAAAUGCCCUGCUUCCAGGAAAAGCCUCUAAGCAUCAGGUAACAC
rnacentral:rRNA from 1 species